UUGUAACGGCGAAAAUCGGCCAUCGGUUCGGAGACAAAGCGAGACAGAGAAUUUGCUUUUCGACGACAUUUUACGCGCCGACCGACCGUCAGACGGGAGCGUGCCGAUAAUAUUGUACGCAGCCCGUGUUGUUUUUUACCGCGUCCGCCUGCAGGUCAUAUUCUACCGGGCAGUAGGACACUCGAAUAAAUCGGGCGGAGGAAAUACCAAACGUCCGCAGUUUUAAGUCUGUA